rnacentral:rRNA from 1 species
AUUGAACGCUGGCGGCAGGCCUAACACAUGCAAGUCGAACGAGUGGCGGACGGGCGAGUAAUGUCUGGGAAACUGCCUGAUGGAGGGGGAUAACUACUGGAAACGGUAGCUAAUACCGCAUACCAUCAGAUGUGCCCAGAUGGGAUUAGCUAGUGGGUGGGGUAACGGCACACCAAGGCGACGAUCCCUAGCUGGUCUGAGAGGAUGACCAGCGACGAUGGAAAGGGGACACGGUCCAGACACCUACGGGAGGCAGCAGUGGGGAAUAUUGCACAAUGGGAGCUAGCCUGAUGCAACCAUGCCGCGUGUAUGAGGAAGGCCGUCGGGUUGUAAAGUACUUUCAGCGGGGAGGCGUUACCCGCAGAAGAAGCACCGGCUAACUCCGUGCCAGCAGCCGCGGUAAUAC